GUAGUCAUUUUAGUGUAUAUUUUCAUCCGCACUCGGCAAACAAAACACUCAUCUACGAGUAUACGAGCCGCCACUGGGAAAACAAGCUGCACUUCACCGACUAUAAAAUUACACGAGCAGUGCCAAUUAAUAUUCAGUUGUCAAGUAUCUAACUUAAACUAUAUACUUAAAGAUAAUGAAGAACAUAAAUAACAUAUAUACAGUGAUUGUAACUUGUUUGAUUUUGGUUCAAGUGCAUAGUCAACAAAUUUCAAGUGGAGAAUGUAAAAACUACGAUGUGAAAAUUGUGCAGGAUUUUGAUGCAUCAAGAUAUCUUGGAAUUUGGUAUGAACAAGCACGAUACGAAGCCAUUUUCCAAUUUAAUAUGGAUUGUGUCCGAGCAAAUUAUUCUUUGAUCGAUGAGAAUAGAAUUAGAGUUGUUAACAGUGGAAUUGUACUAAUUGCUAACGCUGAUAGCAGCAUAGAAGGUGUAGCACGUUUUGUUGAUUCUUCUAAAAUGAAGGUAAACUCCUGGUUAGAUUUCCAUUAAGUCCUGAAGGCAAUUACUGGGUGAUUGGGACUGAUUAUGAUAAUUAUGCUAUUGUCUGGAGCUGUACUGAUAUUUUACCUGGCAUACUCUCUACAAAUAUGCAAUUCUUGUGGAUUCUUGCACGUUCACCUCACUUAUCCGAUGACAAAAUGACGGAAGUUAAAGAUAUUCUGCAGAAUGCCAAAUUAGAUAGAAGUUCAUUACGUAAAACUAUACAGGAUCAAUGCCCAUGGAGUAAUAAAGUGUGAAAAACAAUGUUUUAAACAUUGUUUAAUACUCGUUUUACGCAACAUAUUAGUUAUUCAUAUUCUAAUUAAGUAAAUAUGCAUUGUAUACGCGUGCAACCUUCACAAGGUCAAUGAUAAAUAUAGUUUCACUAUCAUGUAAUAAUAAUAACCGUUUGUUUUCUAUUUUAAUUCUGCAUCAUUGUUAGGAUUGGUCAUGCAUUUAUUUAUAACUUAUUAUAUUUUAACUUUUAAGUUAGACAACCUAACUUACGUUUAGUGUACUUUCUUGAUUUCUUUUUAACUACAUGGUAAGACACUUUAACGUGACAAUUUAAUAGUUACAUUUGCACGUUGUAAUGAUUCCGUUAAUUAAGCAAUUAAGUCGAAUUGCGUUUUCUAAUGAUGUUAUUAACAAAGAAGUAAUUUCGUCGAAAGUACCAAAGCGUGCCAAAAUGCAAAUACCGAAAAACGUCCGAAUGAUGUCGGAUUAGAAGACUUGAAGAUGGGUAAUUGCAGAACAACAAUUAAAAGUUUAACGAUAAUUAUUAAAUGUAUAAGUUUUACAAAAGUUUAAUAAUAAUAUUUUCAAAUGUGAAUACUUAAUAUUUUUAGACUAAAAUAAAAAUUUUAAAUUAU